CCUACGUGGUGCAGCAGUGAGGAAUAUUGGUCACUGGUCGUGAGCCUGAACCAGCCAAGUAGCGUGAAGGCUGACUGCCCUACGGGUUGUAAACUUCUUUUAUCAAGGCAUAAAGUGCGGCACGUGUGCCUUUUUGUAUGUACUUUAUGAAUACGGAUCGGCUAACUCCGUGCCCGCAGCCGCGGUAAUACGGAGGAUCCGAGCGUUAUCCGGAUUUAUUUGGUUUAAAGGGAGCGUAGAUGGGAUGUUAAGUGAGUUGUGAAAGUUUGCGGCUCAACCUUAAAAUUGCAAUUGAUACUGGCAGUCUUGAGGACAGUUGAGGUAGGCGGAAUUCGUGGUGUAGCGGUGAAAUGCUUAGAUAUCACGAAGAACUCCGAUUGCGAAGGCAGCUUACUAAACUGCCACUGACAUUGAUGCACGAAAGCGUGGGGAUCAAACAGGAUUAGAUACCCGAGUAGUC
rnacentral:rRNA from 1 species